UACGGAGGGGGCAAGCGUUAUUCGGAAUUACUGGGCGUAAAGGGCUCGUAGGCGGCCAACUAAGUCCGACGUGAAAUCCCAAGGCUUAACCUUGGAACUGCGUCGGAUACUGGAUGGCUUGAAUUCGGGAGAGGGAUGCAGAAUUCCAGGUGUAGCGGUGAAAUGCGUAGAUAUCUGGAGGAAUACCGGUGGCGAAGGCGGCAUCCUGGACCGACAUUGACGCUGAGGAGCGAAAGCUAGGGGAGCAAACGGG
rnacentral:rRNA from 1 species